UACAGAGGUGGGCAAGCGUUGUUCGGAAUUACGUGGGCGUAAAGGGCGCGUAGGCGGCCUACUAAGUCAGACGUGAAAUACCCCCGGCUUAACCUGGGAACUCGCGUCUGAUAACUGGAAGGCUUGAGGAUGGGAGAGGGAGUGUAGAAUUCCAGGUGUAGCGGUGAAAUGCGUAGAUAUCUGGAGGAAUACCGGUGGCG
rnacentral:rRNA from 1 species